AACGAACGCUGGCGGCAUGCCUAACACAUGCAAGUCGAACGAAGGCUUCGGCCUUAGUGGCGCACGGGUGCGUAACGCGUGGGAAUCUGCCCUUUGGUUCGGAAUAACAGCUGGAAACGGCUGCUAAUACCGGAUGAUGACGAAAGUCCAAAGAUUUAUCGCCAGAGGAUGAGCCCGCGUUGGAUUAGGUAGUUGGUGGGGUAAAGGCCUACCAAGCCGACGAUCCAUAGCUGGUCUGGGAGGAUGAUCAGCCACACUGGGACUGAGACACGGCCCAGACUCCUACGGGAGGCAGCAGUGGGGAAUAUUGGACAAUGGGCGCAAGCCUGAUCCAGCAAUGCCGCGUGAGUGAUGAAGGCCCUAGGGUUGUAAAGCUCUUUUACCCGGGAAGAUAAUGACUGUACCGGGAGAAUAAGCCCCGGCUAACUCCGUG
rnacentral:rRNA from 1 species